rnacentral:rRNA from 1 species
GACGAACGCUGGCGGCGUGCUUAACACAUGCAAGUCGAACGGAAAGGCCCUGCUUUUGUUGGGUGCUCGAGUGGCGAACGGGUGAGUAACACGUGAGUAACCUGCCCUUGACUUUGGGAUAACUUCAGGAAACUGCGGCUAAUACCGGAUAGGAGCUCCUGCUGCAUGGUGGGGGUUGGAAAUUUUCGGCGGUUGGGGAUGGACUCGCGGCUUAUCAGCUUGUUGGUGGGGUAGUGGCUUACCAAGGCUUUGACGGGUAGCCGGCCUGAGAGGGUGACCGGCCACAUUGGGACUGAGAUACGGCCCAGACUCCUACGGGAGGGAGCAGUGGGGAUUAUUGCACAAUGGGCGGAAGCCUGAUGCAGCAACGCCGCGUGCGGAAUGACGGCCUUCGGGUUGUAAACCGCUUUCGCCUGUGACGAAGCGUGAGUGACGGUAAUGGGUAAAGAAGCACCGGCUAACUACGUG